rnacentral:lncRNA from 1 species
AAGGAUUUGGAGGAGAUUUCUUGGGUUUUGGAGGCUUGGGGACUCUCCAACAAGAUGGACCUUGGAGAGCUUAGGGCAAAGAUAAGGUUUUCUUGUAAGAUCUAGGUUAGGGCUUUGAUUUUAUGCCCUAAACUUUUGGAUUGGAACUUCUUACAAGAGUAGAAACUCUCUAGAGGCAUGAAACACAUGAAAAUCCAUGGUUGCUUCAUGUGCAAUCAUGGUGAACUUCUAGGGUUCAUGUGGUAUGCCCUAGAAAUGGUUGAAAAGGCUUCGGAAAGGUUCUAAAUGAGUUCCUAGAGAUUCGACAAGCUUUCUUUUACUUGUACUAGAGAUCAAAUCCAAAGCUUAGCAAAUGGCAUUCUGUCACGCCCCGGGACCCAGCGGAAGCCCGCCCGGCAUGUGCCCAGACCCGCCAUACGUCUAAAACAUAUAAGGCGUCUAAAAACAACGAUAAUAAAAGCAAUAAUAAAAGACAUCUAGGAGUAUCAGAGCAUAAUAAAUAUCUAAAUGCUACAACAAGGGAUAAGGAUAAAACUGUAAAUCCACUAAAUAAGACAUAAAGUGAUACAAGAAAAACCCAGAUACGAGUGCUAUAGGUAGAUACAUAGGUGGUCUCUAUACAUGGAUACAAAAACCUCUCACUCUCUCAACUACAAAAAGAAAGAGUAAACCACCUAGGCAAAGUACCACUCCUCGCUAGCUAGCUAAGCGAUCCCCUUGCCGCGAUCCCGUGCCUCCGCCGGUGCCGAAGGCUCUGAAAAGUAAACCAUAAAACAGGGGGCGUGAGAACUAUUAAAAAAUAGUUCCCAGUGGGCAAUCACUGACUUCAGUGAAUGCACCACAAGGCCCAAAGCUACAAAAGAUGUCAGUGCACGAGUACAAUAAAAGCAGAGAAAGUAACUAAUAAUUAAACAUGUAGGCUUAUUACCAUAGGCUACAUCUACUUAGCACGAAAGGCAUAAGAAUGAGAGCAACUGUGUAUGUAGUAAAAGUCUCCAACUAUCAUGAUGUCCAUAAUGCAAAAUAGUAAGCU